GAUAGUACAGCUUUCACAGAAGCAAUGGGAUGUCUGAGCACAAGUAGCUGACUUGGGAGUGACUUUAUGAAGCACUUUCUGCCUUCCUUAGGCAUAAAAAAACUGGAAUUCUGCACCUGCAUCAGAAAAGGACCAGGCUAAUUCUGCCACCCAGUAGCAAGAAACUCCCACAGCUAACCAGUUUGAAAUUGAAUCCUAAUAGAUUUGCCAAGCAGAAGACAAAGGUAGCCAAAGAUACUUUGACCCACGCCUCUUACACAGAAGUUGCUGAUGGUCUCCAAAAGAUCUCCAAGAUUCCACAUAGAGAUGAGUCUGCUGUGCUAAAAAUUAGAAAAUGACUCAGUUCUUCCAUUUCUCUACCUAAUUUCUUAAAACCUGAAGUACAGCAAAGAGAAAAAAUACAGUCCCCUUAGGCCAAGGAAGGAAAGAAAGAAGAGAAAAGAAGGAAGCAGAAGGAAGAGUUCCCAUACCACAUGACGCAGUCCUAAAACCAGCUUUAAAUCUAUCAACAACUAUUUAUUAAGUGCCUAAAUGAACAGAAAUCUAUAAUAAUUGAGAAUUGAUGUAGGUAAUUUUGAAAAUACGUGUUCUUUUUUAUGCAUUUAAACACUGCAUGCUGUUCCUAGAACCAGUGAUAUAAAAGGUUAUUUUUUAAAAAUCACAACUGUUUCUUGGCAUCCAUUCAACAUUUCAAGGGUAAGAAAAUAUAUUUGCGAUGGCAACAUCCUCAAAGAGACAAUAGUGCAGACAGUAGCCUUGCCUCCCAAGGUUCUGAGUAAAUUAUGGAGCUUAAAGCUUCAGUGCUUAAGGUUAUAAAUUUAAUUACAACAUUUAUGUAGACAUCAAUGCUUUGUAGCACAGGUGCCAAACCCUGGGUCUGCAAACUUGUCUAAAAAAAACAUUUUGAUAACUGUAUUUCAGUAUAUUUGGGUUCCUUUGUAAUCCUAUAUAUUUUAUUUUAGAAACAUUAUUCUGAAAAGGAAUCCAUAAUUUUCACCAGACACAAAAAAGGUUAAAAAAUGCCUGCUCUGUAAAAAAAGAAAAAAAGUUCCCUCAUAGGGUCAAUCAUUAAUUCAAAACAUAAAGAAAUUAAAUAAUGGUGGGAAGGGGAUUCAAUUGAUAUAAAGAGCCUGUCUUCAAUAUUAUGACUAUUAUUGUUGUUGUUAUUAAUAGUGGCUUGCCAAAAUAUUAAAAAAAGUUGUCCAACCUUAAAUAUAGGCCAAUUUUGUUUAUGAAUUUUACACAAAGCAUUCUUUCCUUAUAUCACUAAAAGCAAUUUAUAAACAAUAACCAGAAAAUAACAUAUUUGCAAAAGUGAUGGGUCAAAAAAUCCCAGAAAUACAAAGAACAACUGAAUAAUAAGCAAUUAUUUAAUAAGCUAUCCUGAAACACCACAGUGCUUAUACUAGCUUUAUUAACAAACAUUUAAAAAGCAUUUGACUGAAUCCUAUACACAUGACUUAUUCAUGUGCUACAAAUAUAUAAAAUGGACCUGACUAUGGUGAGAAUGCUAGAAUGUUUGCUAUCACAUGGAAAAGUGUUCUCUUUUUAAAACAUGGCACCAACAUAAUAAUGUCAAUAGUAAUUAUUAUGAAAUAUAACAUCUUUCUGGGAGAGAGUCUAAGUCCCAUCUGUUUUUACUUAGCCUUAAACACAUUAUCAUCUCUCCAUAAUAGAAUUAAACAUGGCUUUUAAGUGAAAAAGGAAAUAUUACCAAACAUCUUGUUGAUUACUUCAUGUACAUAAAAGACAUCAAACUCUGUGGCUCUACUGGGGAGAGACACAUUAAUCAGCACUUUAAUAUCGUAAAAACUUGCUAUAAUGAUACAAAAAUGUCAUUUGGCAUGUAUCAUAACAAAAACUAAUGGACUCACAUAUUAAUUUAUUAAUGUUGCCUUUAAUUAUGGACCUAUGUGCAUUUACCAUAGUAUUAUUUAUUUCUAAUAUCAUUGAUUAUAAUUAGUUUAUUAAUAAAAUACAGGCCCAUCACCCUACCACAAUUACAGAGAAAUUAACAUUUUUUGCUUUGAAAAGGAGGAGUUUGAUAAGCAUUCUUUGAGCACAUGACAAAGAACGUAGAAGUUUUAGGAACAAGUAAACAAUACUUUGCCAAGCACUAAGAAAACCUGGUACAAACAGGUAUAAAUAACAGGAUUUUUUUUUUCAACCAUAACUGAAAGUCAUUUACUUCUAGUUGAAAUGGCUAUAGAAGAUGGCUCAGAUCCACAAAUGGAAUCAAAAGAAACUUGAUGGACAAUAGCCACAUGACCUGAGUCAACAAUAUUUUGUCAAAGAAUCAUUAAACAGGGAGAAGCCAGGUGUCUCAAUGUAUAAAGAGUGGACCCUGGAUUCAGGAGAACCUGAGUUCAAAUCUGGCCUCAGACACUUAACGCUUACUAGCUGUGUGACCCCGGGCAAGUCAUUUAACCCUCAUUGCUCCACCAAAAAAAAAAAAAAAAGAAUCAUUAAACAAAUGGAUGAGUCAUGAAUUAUCUAUGGAAAUAGAGGAAUUUGUGGUGACACUUCAAGGAUGAUUUAUUGCCACCAAAAAUUACAUAAGGGAAAUCCUUCUCGAACCCAGAUUUUGCCAUCAACAUAGAUUAUACAAGGAGACAGUCAUGGUUGUAUACCACAUUACUUCAUGCUGAAAAAUUUGUCACCUGCCAAAUACCUACGAAGGCAUGACCUAAUAAUUAGUAUUAUGUGUCAGAAGCUUGAUAUCUUUGCAUGCACCAACAAAUGGCUAAUUCCUAUUUAACAAAUAUCAAUCUCAAAAUCUCUUGGAGAACUAAGACAAUAACAUGUGUGCUACAUGGAACGAAAAGGAUUUUUAAAAUUAUGAACACAAUAGAGUAGAACAAAAUUGUGUGUAGACUGAAUAAGGUAGAGAUAGUCCUUGUUGCCCCAUUAUAGGAAUUGUACCAAUGAUUUUUUUCUGCGAGCCUAGUAAUACAAACUGUAUUAUUAAUAAAAAUAAUAUAAGCAGGUAUUUAUUCAUUCAUGAAGAAUGAAUACAAAAUUUUAAAUAUGAAUUUCUUUUAAAUAUAAAAGAAUGAUAGCUAGAUAAUGACAUCUCGGGAUAUUAUCUAAUUGAACCUAUCAAGAAAAUAUAGAAUGAGAUGAUAAUGAUAAUACUAGUGGACAUUUAUAUAGCACUUUAAAUUUUGAAAAGCUCUUUCCAUAUAUUAUUUUAUUUUAUCCAUAUACCAAACCCUAUGGAAUAUAGUUUAUUUCAAAAUACUUUAUGGGAAAUAAGAUUCAAAAAAUUAUAGCAUAUAGAAUGGCAAAGUAUUCUCUAGACAAUUUUGAGAAAUUCUGUUGCUAAUGUCAUGUACUCUGUUUCUUUCUCUUCUAUUUUUU